UCUUACUGUAAGAAGGGCUGCGGUUUUUGGCUAACCACAACCCUAUUAAUGAAGGGCUGCGUUUUUGGGCUAACCGUAGUCCUUGAGCCUUUUAAAAAAUCUAUUCGCCCUAAACUCUCUACGUUUCCCCCUCGUAUCACCCGCAUAGCUGAGACUUGAGAGCCUUUCUCUCUCUCUCUCCUCCCAUCUCCUCUCUUUAAUGGAUGGGAGAUACGACGAUGAUGUAGCACUCUCCGAAUUUCUUGCUCCUUUAGUGGAUUAUACUCCCACCAUUCUUGAUGAAUUGGUGGAACAUUACCUCGCCAAAAGCGGUUUCCAAUGUCCUGAUGUUCGAUUGUAGGUGGUGAUGUUUUAUUCGUGAGAUUUUACGGCUGAGUUGAGGGCAAGGAAAUGGUGUCGAAGGAAUUGUUGACAGAAGUAAUGUAACCGUUCUCAUUAUCUAGGUUCUUCAAUUACAUCAGAUUCGUAAAUUGUAUGUCAUCUUCAUCUCCGAAUUUGUUCUCAAUUUGAAUGAAAUUCAGGGGGGUAAUGAUCUCAAGCGCAUUCGCUUCAGAUCCUCCUGCAGUAUGGUGCAAAUGUAAAGACUUCGGACACUAGAGGUCAGCCACCGCUUCAUCGAUGUAUUCUGAAAGGAAAGGCAUCAGCAGCUAGGUUACCUCUCACAAGCUUAAGCAAGUUUAUCUCCACCUAUGUCCUAAGAGCAUGUACAAUGGUGAGCCACAAUGAUGGACGUACAUGUCGCCAAUGUGAUAGGUUGUUGUCGCAACUCCUAAAAUGGUGGCAGGUUCUUAAAAUAGUGGCAAGUGGAGGAAGAGGCAAACAGUAAGUCAGUGGUCAAAUCAGUUUGCAAAUUUUUGAGAAGAUCAAUGAAAAUCCCUAAAAAGUAGAAACUAACAAGUUGCAGAACAUUUGACAUAUUUUGCUUAAACCGUCAUUCUUUCUAUUAUAAAUACUCCUAUUGUAAACCAUACAAAAUAGAUGAAUUUUCUCCUACUCAAUCAUAACCAUAAAAACUCUAUUUCAACUCAUUCUCUCCAUCAUUUUUUUUUUUGAAAGAGAAAAUUUCAUUAAUUGAAGGUCAAACGACAUCUACAAUAGAUAUUAUAGAAAAAUAAGAUACAAUUAAAUAAGGUUAAAUCAAAUUCAUCUUCAAAGAAACUAGAAUGAACCAGAUCGAGGAAUACAACGCAGCCCCCUUGUAUUUGCUGAAUCAAACAGCUAUUGAGAAAGUCUAUCAUUCUGACAUAGUUUGGGAAGAUCAUUCUUGAUCGAGCCAUGUUAACCGCAUCCGAGAUUCCAAUACCUCCAUGUUGAAUCUUAAACUUCAGCCAAUAAGAACAAUUUCUCAUACCUAAAAACAACAAAACCAUAUUCACAACUCCUAUAGGGGAGAAGGAGAUCUGCACAACAGAGACUAAAAACCCCAUAAUAGGGUUUGAAGAAAUCUCAUAAAGAGAUACUAAUUUAUUCAACAAGACAAGAAAAUAAAAUAAAAACUGAAAAAUAAAAGGAAAAAAGGGCCUUACCAUGGAUGAAAUCAUCCAUGGUAGCCCCUAACUGAUGAAGAAUGAGUAGGGGAGGCUAGGGUUUUAGAGAGAAAAAGAUAGAGGGGGAGGGUUUUUUUUUUUUUUUUAAUUUGCCAUCUCUUUCUCUCUAAAACUUAACUUGCUCAUCCUUCUAAUCAACCAAAACUAGUGUACUUGCAGUGCAAAUUGAUAUUAUUAUAGUGGAUUUACUGAACACCGAUUCCCAUGUGGUUUUUUCCUCAUUUAGAGGGUUUAGACAUAAAAUUGCCUUGUUUCAUUUCUUUAUCUUUGUACUAUACUUCGCCCAUUUAUUUUGCCAAGUAUUGCAACUUAAUUAUCAUACCCCUCUUCAAGCAAAUUAGCCUUAGUGUGAAAUUUGUCCAAAACAUCACUUUCUCUCCUCUUUAUCCAAUAUCGGACAACUCACAUGUUUGAUGUGAACAAGUAUGGAGUUCAACAAGUAUUUUUUAGUUCCAAUGCAAAUUCCGGACUUGUUAGUACUAGUAUUUCUAGGUCCCAACUUCUUAAUAGAGCACAUAUACAAUAUAGCUCUAGCAGUUUCGGGUAUGAAAUAUGGGUCUAUUACAAAAUUGCUUGGUGCUUGACAAAAAACUGAAAAAGGGAGUAUGGUAUCUUGCCAAAAACUUCCAAUAAUACUUACUUCCUCCGUUUCAUAUGACAUGUAACACUUGUACUUUUUAUAUUACUUACAAAUUUCACUUUCACUUUGUGAUGGGUUGGACCUACAAAAUCAUAGGCGUAGAUACAUUAGCCGGAUAAUCAACAUGUAGGACUAAUUAUUGGAGAAUAUUUUUAAAUAAGAGCGUUAGAUACCUCUACGGCUCUACGUGAAGAAAUGUGUAAUGGAGAAAUUUAGAUAAAAAUCAGUACUACUAAAAUAUAAGUAUAUUGAAGUAGUACAUAUUGGAAUUCUUAAGUACGGUAGUGGGACUCCAAUACCAAGCCACUAGCCACCUAAGUAACUUCUCUAAUCACCAAGUAGUAUUUGGUUUAAUGAUUUAGUUUGUAUCUCACAACCUUGAGGUUGUGGGAUCACACUCUACUAGAGGCACUUUAAGGGUGGGGUUUCUCCUUACUAGGGAUGGAAAUGGAUCGGAUUCGGGGCGGGUGGAACAUCACCCGCAUCCACCACCCGCAAUUGUUUACUCCACCCGCAUCCAUCCAUCCGUCAUCCAUCGGGUGAAACGGGUGGAUCGGGUGCUAAACGGGUGAUGAUAUCUAGUAUAUUUUUAAAAGAAAUUAGUGACAUAAUAUAAAAUAAUUAUAUCAAAAACAUAAAAUUUAAGUAAUUUACAUGUAAAAUUUAAUAAUUGGGUAAUUAGUUGGGUGUUAAACGGGUGAUGUAUGAAAAAAUUCUCACCCACCACCCACUUUCCAUCCAUUUAAAUUCGGGUUUUCAUCCAUUUAAAAUACCGGGUUAAGCGGGUGAUGGAUCAUCCAUCACCCAUUUCCAUCCUUACUCCUUACCAUUCCCACUAUUUCUACAGGACCUUGCCUCUAAACCCGGACUAGGUUGACCUGUGUAAGGUUCCUAUCCGAUUAGGAUGCCUUCGUCUUACCUUAAUAAAAAAAAUCUCUAAAGAUUUAUACCAUGUAGAGAAAUAAUAUGCUACAUCCAAGAAAUUUUGCUAAAAUCUAUCAUACGAAUAGAUGAAUAACCGAAAUGUAAUAUGAGUAAUUGAGUAUAUGGCUAUUCCUGAUUCUAACUUGCUAAAUUUAAAUUUCACAUAGGCCUCGUAUACGAAAAUAUAAACUUAUUACUAGAUCCAAUUUUGAGAACAAAAAGAGGGUGUUGGGCAAAAAGAGAGUUUUGGGCAAAAAGAAAGUUGAUGACUAGUUCAAAACUCUAUGAGUGUGUUUGAUAAAGAGCGUUUUGGGGUGAAAACUCUCAAAAUGAAAAUGCUUCUCUUUGGAGUUUUUCCUUUAGAGGAUUAGGCGAGAGAAUGUGUAAAUGACUUUUUUGCCCAUAAUUAUAAUACUAAUAUUCCUGUUUAUAUGUCCAUAAAUGUCACUUUAUAAAAACAAAAGGUAAUCAACUUUUAGCAAUCAGGUUAGUUUUACCAAACACAUUUAUAUCAAAAAUUAACCAAAUCUACGGUCAAAUUUGAUAAACAAAAAGAUAAAACUCUAGCCGCUAAACCUAAAUUCUAUUUGUCAAAUAAGGUCAAACUUUUUUCAAUCCUAGUUUUUGAGAUAUAUGUAAAAUAUGAAAUAGCAAUUUAGCCUCAAAGGCCAAAGCCACAAAGAAACGCUUUAGAAUAGAGCCAAAAAUGAGUUACGGCCCACAACAAACCCAUAAUUCAGGAAUCAAAAUCCACCAAAAGAUUACAAAAAUAAAAAGGCAAGAAAUUUGUGGCUAAUAUCAAAUGAUUCAAAAAAGACAUUAUAAAUGGAGACAAAAGAGUGCAAACUUUGGUACUAUUACUCUGCCAAAUCCCAUAACCACAACAUCAAUGGUGUCAACUCAAGCACACAUAUACGUAAUACUUCCAACAUUAUGUUUUGUCUGUUAUAACUCCGUAAGCUGCUGCUCGUUCUCUUCAAAUGAUUUUAUGCAGCCUUCACACUUUGGUCGACUUACAAUUAUUUUUCCAACUUCUAUAUUUCGAUCAAACUGGAUCGGAUAUCCGAUUUUUGGAGUCACAGAAAACACGAUUGAUUUUUGGUCCUAAUUAGUUGCAUAUUUUUUAUCCGUGAUACCUAAUAUAAUUGAAUCGAAACUGGAUUAUUUGUAUUCAAUUUGGGUGAAAAAAAUUAUUAUUGAUUUGUCAAAUUAACCCAUUGAAAUUUCUUAUUAAUUAUUCAUUCUUUGCUUUUGAUAAUUUUAUGCAAGGCGUUAGGGUAAAUUUGCCAAUUGGCUCAUCAAUUUGAUAUGAAAAACUCUUAAUUGGACAAUCUCUUAGAGAAUAAGAUGAUUAUGUAGAUUGUAGUAGUAGAACUAUGACUAUAUAUUAACCUAAAAGAUA